rnacentral:lncRNA from 1 species
CUCUCUCUCUCUCUCUCUCUCUCUCACACACACACACUAUUGUGUCUUUUUAUUCGUUUAAUUAGUGUUGGGAAUUCACGUGCCCCAGUUGUUUGAUCCUUUGACCUUGCAGCUUGAGAUACUAAAGUUGCAAUCUUUGAAGAUGGGGUUUGGGAGUUUUGAUUUUGGGUCAACUUAAAGGGGUGUUGAUUUCAUAGGGUCGUAUGAUUUGACUUGCUGGGUUGGCUAUUUAUUGUUGUUGUGAAUGUUGUGUUGUUCGUAGUGUGGUUGGUUGCUUUGGAAAUGAUAGAAACGAUGAGGGAAAUCGAAGAUUUGAAGAUGUGGUUGUUGUUAAAACAUAGGAAGGGGAUUGGUGUAACUGGACUUCGGGGUAGUUUAGAUGGAUUGAUUCUCUUCCUCCUUUAUCCUAUAUCACGUGCCAAACAUGGCGUAAUUGAGUUAAGCCUUUUUGUUUUGACAACAUGAAUCUUAAUCCUGAUUAAUGGAGAAACUUGGAUUUGAUGUUUUCCAUAUUUUUACCUAGAUAAACCUGAUGGUUGUUGUUUUGGGUGAAUUCUAACUGCUAAGUACCCUGGAGACCUGGUCAAUAUGCAGAAGUUUGUCUUGUUUUUUUUUUUAUUCUCGCAAAUAAACCCUCUCUUCUCUUGGCUUUGAACUUGAAAAUAAUUCUUUUCAAAUCCUAUUCUAUUGAAGCUAUCUAAAGUUAGAGGUAGAGUAUUCGUGCAGUCGUUCUAAUUUAUUCGUCAUAUUUGUUGGUAUGCCGAAGAACAACAGAUUCAUAGAAAAUAGUGGUUUAGUGAUUCUAUAUAACAAAAUGUGUAAAUUUCCCUACCAUAGAGUUUCAAAAAUACCUCUUAAACCUUGCAAGAUGUGAUCUAAAGUAGUCACAUUUGGAAGCACUAAUACAAUAAGUAUGGAAUUUUAUUCUUUUCUGCUGAGCUGCCCUCACCAAAUAUCUUCUUAUUAUCACUUACCCUAUUUAUUUCCAAGGGUGACAGUUUAGGAGAUGUCUUCUUGUUUAUGAAGAACACAAUUGUAUUGUUUGAUAGCUGACGCCACUUAGUGGAAAAAAACCUUUUGUUGUUGAGGAGGAUUAGAUGGUCAAUUAGUGGCUGCUUGAGUGCUUUGAAAAGGUUAUUGAAUUGAGAUUCCAAUUUUGAAUUGCCAACUAUAUUUUCUAUCAUUAAAUUCAGGUACAAUGAAAAAUUACUUCAAAUAUAUACAGAUGAUAUAUAAUAUUCAAUGUAAAUAAUUUAAAGUAGAGAUAGAUAAAACAACUUAAGCAGAAGUCAUACAAAAAAAACUAUUAGUUAUAUCUAAGUUUGUGAAGUCUUUAUUUUAGAAGAAUGAAUACAAAACAAUUGAAUAGCUAAAUGAACUACAUGUAUUGAAUGAUUUUGUGACAAAGAAAGGUGAAAUAAUCAAAUAGGAUAUGUUCACAAGUGUUCUUUCAAAUUCCUAUUCAAUACACAUUUAAUCUCAUUUUCUUUUCAUGGGAAUUGGUGAAAAGAUAGAAACAUACAAAUCAUUGAAUUGUAUAGUUGAUACAAAUUACAUAGGUUCAUUUAUGUAUCAUAAGAUACAAAAUCAUUUAAAUUUCUUUUGGUGAUACAAAUAGGUUAGACAACCAAUAUGUAUCAAACCAUAAGACUCAAAUAGUGAAUUGUAAUAUUCUGAUAACUAUGCUCUAAACAGUAUUUGUGAGAAUGGAUUUGUGGUUUGAGGAAAUUGAGGAAUAUUCAAGCAAGGAACAACUAGGACUUUGGUAGGGUGGAGAUUAACAAAUUUGUGUUUCUUAGUAUUCAUUAUGAGAACUAUAAAGCUUAACAACUUUGUUUUUAGAAUGUGUAUACAUAAAUUUUCAUUCUCAAUUUAGUUUUUUUUUUUCACGAUGAUUUUAUAUAAAUGAAUAUUUUCUAGUUUCCCAACUAAAUUAACAGAUCCUGAUCUGAUCUGAUAAAGUAGUUUUUUACAGAAUUGAGGGGCUGUUACUCUGUGUUUGUGAGGUGGUAGAACCUACUUCAUGAUUUUGUCCCCAUAUUUUACCUACCACUUGAGCUUUGAAGCUAUUGUAGUUGAAGAUUGUAUGCCCCAAUAGGUUAGAAUUGGACCUUUACAGGUUAUAUACAUACUAUAAUUUAACAUUCUCAGUAUACUAUUGUUUAGUUCCUUUCAUGGAGAUUGAGAGAAUGAAUGAAAAUGAAAAGAAAAAUGAUUUUAUUUAGUAGUAAAUUGAAAUCUGAUGAAAUUGUGUUUGCCUUGUGUUCUUCAAUUUUUAAAUACAAACGGUGUUACUAUUCGAUUUCAUGUUUGCAAGAAGGAUGAGUUUUCAAAUGCACAUUCAUUAUAGAAACUCAAACUAGACAGUAUCGCAUGAAUGAUGUCACUUAGAUAAGUGGAAGGUCUACUAAAUGUUCCAGCUAAUUGAUUAUCGCGCUUCUGUGAUCUUGAUGAAGUAUUUGUGGAGGUGCUAAAUUGUAAUUCUCAGAAAGAUUUUCAUAAUUUUUAAAAUUAUGAUAAUAACUUAGUUCUUACUGUUUUAAUAUUAGUAGCAUUUAGUUUAUGAGUUGGAGUGUUUAACAAGUUAAUCUGACACCUUUUUCUUUUAAAAACAAAAACUCUUUGCAAAAUAUUGCUGCAUCAAGUGAGAGCUCUGAACGCCAUCACCUCCAUAUUUAAUAUGACAAUAUCACUCUUUACAUCACCUACUCCUUUUCCUAAUUUAGUUGACAUGAACUGUGGUGUCAUUUUGUUAUAUAGCAGCAAUUAGUGUAGAAGAUGAGUACGUUGGAUGCAACAAGGGCUGAACUUGGUCUUCUUGUUUUAUAUUUGGGCAAGGCUGAAACAAGAGACAAAAUAUGCAGGGCAAUUCAGUAUGGUUCCAAAUUUGUGAGUAACGGGGAACCUGGUACUGCUC